rnacentral:rRNA from 1 species
GACGAACGCUGGCGGCGUGCUUAACACAUGCAAGUCGAACGGAAAGGCCCCUUUGGGGGUACUCGAGUGGCGAACGGGGGAGUAACACGUGAGUAACCUGCCCUUGACUUCGGGAUAACUUCAGGAAACUGGGGCUAAUACCGGAUAGGAAUCCUUGCUGCAUGGUGGGGGUUGGAAAGCUUCGGCGGUUUUGGAUGGACUCGCGGCUUAUCAGCUUGUUGGUGGGGUAGUGGCUUACCAAGGCUUUGACGGGUAGCCGGCCUGAGAGGGCGACCGGCCACAUUGGGACUGAGAUACGGCCCAGACUCCUACGGGAGGCAGCAGUGGGGAAUAUUGCACAAUGGGCGGAAGCCUGAUGCAGCAACGCCGCGUGCGGGAUGACGGCCUUCGGGUUGUAAACCGCUUUCAGCAGGGGCGAAGCUUGUGGUGACGGUACCUGCAGAAGAAGCACCGGCUAACUACGU